rnacentral:lncRNA from 1 species
GUUGAGGUUUUCGUGUUGCACUAACUCUGGAGUAGUUGGAAGAAGUGACCCAGUGUACAGUUUUCCCGCCGCAUAACUCCUGGUUUGCUGAAUAGCGCUGGGGGACGAACACGCACACGUAUUUCAGCAAUACCAUACAUGCCUUCCUUUUUAUGUACGCUUGCACAGCUGGUGUGUGCGAACAGCUUACUAAGAACAGCGACUAUAGUUUAUUUCGCGUAUUACGUUCACUCCUCAUUCACCUCAUAUAGUCUUCGUCAAAGCGUUCCGUUUGCUCGAGGCUUGGACCUUCCUUUUCUCGAACAUCCCCUUCCUUCUUCCAACCACAAGGAUGUUUUAGCUCUUCCUCGUCACGCGAACAAAUGCUCUUCGGUUCGGAGAUGGUAAUCGCGUCUAGGUUUUCAGAGCUCGUCUUCGGUGCAGGAAGAUCUCCGAGGCCCCGUAUUAUACCCUUGAUGGAAUCGACUAGCACUGAGCUGUCACUACCGUUCACUCCCCUUCUGGCACCAUCUGCAUCCGGUCCCAAAGUAGAGCUACGAGAGAGGGGCUCGGCGCGCCUCCGAUCGCCCAGUGAGUCCACUUGCCGCCUGGAAGGGGAGACAGGCCGCGAGACGCUCUGAGAGUAUGCGUUCUGCGGCAGCCAUCCUCCACCCGUACGAAUGACCUUGCUGGUGAUUCGAGGCGACUACAUGCAAACACAGGCGUGCAAAUUCUACACGAAGAGAAAUGGGAUAGAUAACAACAGGAAUUCAGUCUGCCAUGCACCAGAAAGCAUGAGCCCCUCGUCAAUGCCCUGAUAUGAUGACAGUCUACUAAUUUUUUCUGCAUCAUGAAAAAGGAAAACACACAACGGGGAAAGCAUGAAAAAACAACCUGAUGCCUGCGAGGCUAUAUGUAAGGAGCGCGAGGAGAUCAUUGGCCGUUCCAGCGGCAUGUUCUGUCUUCGAGAUGACCUCACUCCAACUUCGCGUUGUAUUCUUUCGCUGAGAAUCUCGCAGCCCCUUUCGCGUUUAGCAAAUUUGCUUCUCCCUAGACGUCAUAAAGGCGUUUGCACACUGCCAA